UACGAAGGGGGCUAGCGUUGCUCGGAAUCACUGGGCGUAAAGGGCGCGUAGGCGGCCGAUCAAGUCGGGGGUGAAAGCCUGUGGCUCAACCACAGAAUUGCCUUCGAUACUGUUUGGCUUGAGACCGGAAGAGGUUAGUGGAACUGCGAGUGUAGAGGUGAAAUUCGUAGAUGUUCGCAAGAACACCAGUGGCGAAGGCGGCUGACUGGUCCGGUUCUGACGCUGAGGCGCGAAAGCGUGGGGAGCAAACAGG
rnacentral:rRNA from 1 species